rnacentral:rRNA from 1 species
UCUUGGAAGUAAAAAGAAAAAUCUACCGGAGUACUAUGAAUAUUAGCAAUUUAAAACUCAAAGGGCUUGGCGGUACUUUUAGACCCUUCAGGGGAACCUGUCUUGUAAUCGACAAUCCACGUUAAACCUAACCUUAUCUUGCAUACAGUUUGUAUACCGUCGUCGUCAGGUAACUUUUAAAAAUUUAGUAGUUAGCAAUAAAAUUUAAUAAUAAAUUUAAACGUCAGAUCAAGGUGCAAUUAAUGAAAAGGUUAAGAUGGGUUACAAUUAUAUAUUAAUAAUAAUACGGAUAAUUAAUUGAAACAUUAUUUUGAAGGAGGACUUGAAAGUAAAGAAUAUUUAUAUAUAUAUAUAAAUUGAAUAAGGCUCUGAAGUGUGC